GAGUGUGUGGGUCUCCGAUUGCCCCAGGCCCUGACAGUGUUAGGUGAGGUCUGCAGACUCCCGUCCUCUGAAAACACCAGCCCUGGAACUGGUCCAGCCUGUCCCCUUUCCUGGAACUCCCUCCCCAACUUGUCUGCCUCGCCAACUCCAGUUUUCCCCUGAAGACUCAGCUCAGAUUCCUGACUCCCCCGGGGCAGACUCAGGCUCACAGGGACCUUUGUGGCUUCUUCCCUCCCAGCACCUGCUGGUAGCGCUGACUUGGCUGUGUGGAGCCUGGCUGACGGCGGGAGCCAGGAGGCUCUGACCUCGGCCGAGUGCUCCCAGAAUUCCCAGACCCCAGCACGAGCGCUGCCCAAGGAAGCCUUGGUGAGCACAGGCAUCACCCUGCAAUUCAGUCGCCACCUUAGUCCAGUUGCUUAAGACAUGCUCACUGCUCAAACCGUACUGGCACAUGAAUCACCCAGGCUCUUCUUCAAAUGCAAGUUCUGGGGCUGGCCCAGUGGCACAGUGGUUAAAUUUGUGCGCUCUGCUUUGGCGGCCCUGGGUUCGCCGGUUCAGAUCCCGAGUGCAGACCUACACACCGCUUGUCAGUGGCAGACAUCCCACGUAUAAAGUAAGGGAACAUGGGCAUGGAUGUUAGCUCAGGGCCAGUCUUCCUCAGAAAAAAAAAAAUGCAGGUUCUAAUUCUGUAGGUCGAGGAUGUGGCCUGAGAGUCUGCAUUUCCAACCAGCUCCCAGGUGAUGCCGAUGCUGCUGGUUCAAGAACCACACUCAGGAGUGAGGCUGGAGAUCUCAUCAACUUCAGAGAGACAAGUUCAAUAGACGUGUUGUCUGCAGCCAAUGCUUUCGGUGCAAACUGUGGAUGAUGCAAUUCUGAAACCAGACUGCAGCUGCCCAAGGCUCAGCUGCAGCACCAGCUGGCCCGCUUCAGAGGAAGUCACUGGCCAAGAGUCAACCAGUGGGGACCCAGAGAUGCUCCAAACCCCAGGGAACUGAGGGCUGUGUGGCAACCCACGGUCAGACAGCAAAGUCUGCAUGUUGGUAGGCUAGUGGUUCAGAAAAGCUCUGCGUUUCCCUGUCAACGACUGGACAGGAAUCUGGGCAGCACAGGGUGCUGGCCUCACAGGGAGGCCUGGCCUGGGCUGGCAGGUGGAGGGUCCACGUACCCAGGAGGAAUGUCAGCUGGCUCCCCUUGGGCCCUAGCCCGGAAGUCCCAGAAAAUUCGAGAAGAACAAGAUAUACGGAAGAAGAAAUUAUCCUCAAGACUGCAACAGAGAAAGCCUGCCUGAGUUUCCAGCCCGCUGCACUGCAAAAUUUGGCCUUGAGCCACCACAUCAACUCUCGCCUGAAUUGCCAGCCUACCAGCCUGCCUUAUCAAUUCUGGACUUGCAGACCCCCAC
rnacentral:lncRNA from 1 species